GUGCAGCAGUCGAGAAUCAUUCGCAAUGGGCGAAAGCCUGACGAUGCGACGCCGUGUGAACGAAGAAGGCCCUCGGGUCGUAAAGUUCUUUCGCCUGGGAACAAGAGAGGAGGAUGAAUAAUCCUUUAAUUUGAGGGUACCAGGUAAAGAAGCACCGGCUAACUCCGUGCCAGCAGCUGCGGUAAUACGGAGGGUGCAAGCAUUAAUCGGAUUUAUUGGGCGUAAAGGGCGUGUAGGCGGCCGUUCAAGUCUGUUGUGAAAUUCCGGGGCUCAACCCCGGAGCUGCAAUGGAAACUGGAUGGCUAGAGGAUAGGCGGAGAAAAUGGAAUUCCACAAGUAGCGGUGAAAUGCGUAGAUAUGUGGAGGAACACCGGUGGCGAAGGCGGUUUUUCAGCUUAUUCCUGACGCUGAGGCGCGAAAGCAAGGGGAGCAAACAGGAUUAGAUACCCGGGUAGU
rnacentral:rRNA from 1 species